AACGGUAAACUCAGAUGAUCAGAAUACAACGGUAAAUUCAGAUGUUCAGAAUAGCCUACGAAAUCGUGAAUUAUUUUCUAAAUGAAGUCACGGUUAAGUUAGUGAGCAUGGGAGGCAUGAGACGGGAGGUCUCCAGGCUGCAGCCAUUCCCGACUCAGUAUUUGCGUGUGGGACUGUGUUCGUCACCUGUUGCCCCUUCGUGACUGAUAUCGAUGUCUGUCUUGCACACGGUGCAGAAAUCGCUGUGGUUUCCGAACCUUUUUUUGAGGCGGUUCAGCCAUGGCAUACAAGCCUACAGUUAUCCGGCCAGCCUAGCUUGCUUGAGGCACUGAAUUGAAUUAAACGUGCAAAGCAUUUGACUAGGAGGGGCAGGUGGGCGGAGGAUUAAAAUGCAGCGCUCUGAUUGGCCGAAAGCUUUUCACUCCACUUACACGCUGUGGCUCAGCGGCAGAAUCAACGUCAUACAGACUGCAUAGAAACUGAAACCGGUGAAAUGAAAAAUGCAACAAAAUGCGUACCUAGAGAGCAGCGAAUCGUACAAGCGUACUUAAGGGUCAAAAUGCGUGCAGAGUACGAAAAAUGUGUACGUGUUGGCAGGCGUGCAACAAGAGCUAUCAGGGCAUGAGGAGGAGGCAGGAGGAAACAGCUUGGCUCUGAAACAUGUUUACAACGAGGCAGUGUGAAUGAGCUGGUGAUAUUUAAGGUUACCACUCUGAGAAAACGUUUCCCCACAUUGUUCACAGCUGUACGGCUUCUCUCCAGUGUGAACACGCUGGUGAGAUUUAAGGUUACUACUCUGAGAAAACGUUGUACCACAUUGAUCACAGCUGUAAGGCUUCUCUCCAGUGUGAAUGUGUUGAUGUCUUUUUAGGGUACUCUGUAGU